AAUGGGCGAAAGCCUGACCCAGCGACGCCGCGUGGGCGAUGAAGGCCUUCGGGUCGUAAAGCCCUGUCAUGCGGAAAGAAAAGUCCCGCGAUUAAUACUCGCGGGAUGUGACGGUACCGCAGAAGGAAGCACCGGCUAACUCCGUGCCAGCAGCCGCGGUAAUACGGAGGGUGCAAGCGUUGUUCGGAAUUACUGGGCGUAAAGGGCGCGUAGGCGGUAAUAUAAGUCAAAUGUGAAAUCCUCCAGCUUAACUGGAGAACAGCAUCUGAAACUGUGUAACUAGAGUACAGGAGAGGGAAACGGAAUUCCCGGUGUAGAGGUGAAAUUCGUAGAUAUCGGGAGGAACACCAGUGGCGAAGGCGGUUUCCUGGCCUGAUACUGACGCUGAGGCGCGAAAGCGUGGGGAGCAAA
rnacentral:rRNA from 1 species